AGAGUUUGAUCCUGGCUCAGAAUCAACGCUGGCGGCAUGCCUAACACAUGCAAGUCGAGCGAGAAAGUGUAGCAAUACAUGAGUACAGUGGCGCACGGGUGAGUAACACGUGGAUAACCUGCCUCAAAGUGGGGAAUAACACCGGGAAACCGGUGCUAAUACCGCAUAUUCUGACGAGAUCUGCGGAUUUUGUCAGGAAAGGAGCAAUUCGCUAUGAGAGGGGUCCGCGGCUGAUUAGCUAGUUGGUGAGGUAAUGGCUCACCAAGGCUUCGAUCAGUAGCCGGUCUGAGAGGACGGUCGGCCACACUGGAACUGAGACACGGUCCAGACUCCUACGGGAGGCAGCAGUGGGGAAUUUUUCGCAAUGGGGGCAACCCUGACGAAGCAAUGCCGCGUGGAUGAUGAAGUUUCUCGGUACGUAAAAUCCUUUCGACGGGGACGAAACCGCAAGGUGACGUACCCGAGAAGAGCCCCCCA
rnacentral:rRNA from 1 species